GACACGAUGGCCGAGUGGUCUAAGGCGGUAGUUUUAAGCUUGUCAAGGAAACACUACUACAGAAAUGUGCGUGGGUUCGAACCCCACUCGUGUCA